rnacentral:rRNA from 1 species
CGGGGAAAGUGGCGGACGGGUGAGUAACGCGUGGGCAACCUGCCUUACACAGGGGGAUAACAGUUAGAAAUGACUGCUAAUACCGCAUAAGACCGCGGAACCGCAUGGUUCUGAGGUAAAAACUCCGGUGGUGUAAGAUGGGCCCGCGUCUGAUUAGGUAGUUGGUGAGGUAACGGCUCACCAAGCCGACGAUCAGUAGCCGACCUGAGAGGGUGACCGGCCACAUUGGGACUGAGACACGGCCCAGACUCCUACGGGAGGCAGCAG